AGAGUUUGAUCCUGGCUCAGAUUGAACGCUGGCGGCAUGCCUUACACAUGCAAGUCGGACGGCAGCGCGGGGGCAACCCUGGCGGCGAGUGGCGAACGGGUGAGUAAUACAUCGGAACGUGUCCUGGAGUGGGGGAUAGCCCGGCGAAAGCCGGAUUAAUACCGCAUACGCUCUGAGGAGGAAAGCGGGGGAUCUUCGGACCUCGCGCUCAAGGGGCGGCCGAUGGCAGAUUAGCUAGUUGGUGGGGUAAAGGCCUACCAAGGCGACGAUCUGUAGCUGGUCUGAGAGGACGACCAGCCACACUGGGACUGAGACACGGCCCAGACUCCUACGGGAGGCAGCAGUGGGGAAUUUUGGACAAUGGGGGCAACCCUGAUCCAGCAAUGCCGCGUGUGUGAAGAAGGCCUUCGGGUUGUAAAGCACUUUUGUCCGGAAAGAAAACUUCGUCCCUAAUACGGAUGGAGGAUGACGGUACCGGAAGAAUAAGCACCGGCUAACUACGUGCCAGCAGCCGCGGUAAUACGUAGGG
rnacentral:rRNA from 1 species